GACGAAGGUGGCAAGCGUUGUUCGGUAUCACUGGGCUUAAAGCGUGUGUAGGCGGAAAAGUAAGCGUCUUGUGAAAUCCCCCGGCUCAACCGGGGAAUGGCGUGACGAACUGCUUUUCUUGAGGCAAGUAGGGGUGCAUGGAACUCUUGGUGGAGCGGUGGAAUGCGUAGAUAUCAAGAGGAACGCCAGUGGUGAAAACGGUGCACUGGGCUUGUCCUGACGCUGAGACACGAAAGCGUGGGGAGCGAACGGG
rnacentral:rRNA from 1 species